GAGCCCUGGGAUGCAGGAGCCCACAGUGACUCCCUACGUCCUCCUGGCAUCUAUGGCCUAUUUUCUUUGUGGAAUUUUGAGGAAAGAAAGGGGUACUGAGAGAUAAGUGCGAGCCAAGCUCCCUGGUCAGAUCCUGCCUGCUUCUCAGGUAGGGGUGAGGCUGCGCAUCUGGCAGGGAGUCCGUUCUCUCCUGGGGGUCAGCCGGUGCCCUUUCUGGACCCAGCUGCUGGGAGCUCCAUUAGGGAGAUGCCUCCUUGAGUUUCUGCAAAGGGGCUGUCUCCACCUCACUGCCACACCUACUUCUGCACCUACCUUCUCCACUGGGAGGCCCCUGGACUUGGUUUCCUCCUCUGCUCCUGGACCCCAGGCAACAACUACUCAUCUUUACAGAUGCUGUUCAAAUGUCACCUCCUUCAGCAACCCCACCCCAACCCCCAAGCAGAGUAUCACUCGCUCGUCUGUCUUUCCAUCUCCAUCAGAAUGCUUACUCCUCUGUGUGGUGAUACAAUGCCCUGAAAUGGCUCUUCCCUGUUCCUCAGUUAGAUAAGUACAGGCUGAGCCCAGGGCUGCCUAUCUCUGCACCUCCACUGCCUGGCACGUUGCAUGAUGCCCGGUAGGGACACAAUCGUUCAGAGCGAAUAAGACAUGCCGCUCUGGUGUGUGUUCCACGGACUGGAGUGGACCCCUGGGACUGGCUCCUUCUGGAAUCAGACCGCAGGCUCCAGGAGGGGAGAAGUGUAUCCUCAGUACCUAGAACCAUGCCUGGCACAGGAUAUGUACUCGGGAUAUUUGUUGAAUGAGCCUUAUCAGAACUGCUCUUUGUCCCCACUGUCGAAGAGUCUCAAGAUGGCAUGGGGAUCCUCUCCAGGGUGGCCUGUCAGCCUCUUCUCUACCCUCCGGGGACCUCCGAUGCACCAGCCUUGGGGUCAGACAGACGUGUGCUUACGUCCUGGCUCUUCCUACUCAGCUAAGACCUCAGGCAAUCAAGACUGUCCUCAGUUUCCUCAUCUGAAAAAUGGCAUUGCGGCGAGCUACCUCGCAGGCUUGUUACGAACGUUCACGUCUGUGAAAGUUCUUUAUCAACAGUGUGACUGAGAAAACUACAGGCUUCGGGCUCCAAACAGUCUUGAUUCACCUCUUGUAUCCUCCACCUGGGGGAAUGCUUGACUUGGUCCGUUUCCGACUCUCCUUUUCCCGUCUGUAAAAUGGGAAUACUCCUAUGUGCUCACCUCACCCGAUCACCAUAAGGAAAAAUGAGACGUGACAUCUGCUUCCAGGAAUGGACAACUACGCGAUUUGAAUAAACCCUUCCUUCUGAGGACAAAUAAA